UGUGCUUUGUUAUGUGUUACUUAUAGGGAAUCUUAGUCUUAGGUCUAUAUAGACUUUGUUACUCUUUCAUUGUUUUUCCUCCUCUUCAUUUUUUGCAUUUUUGCUAUCUUAUAUAGAACAAUCCACUUCAUUUUGCUUUGAUUUAACUAUUGAAAUUAUGAAAGUGAUGCAGUUUGGAGUUUAGGACAACUUUCAAUCCUUGGAUGAAUAGGUGCUGACAAAGCCAAUUCCACCUUGUAAUACAUCAAAGUGAAGAUUUCUACCUGAAGAAGUAAGCCAGCUCUGGGGUUUUCACAGGAGACAUCUCUUCAAUCUCACCUUGUUUCUCUCUCGCUCGGUCAUCAGUCCACCCUCAUUGUUGGACCACCAUCAUCACAACAUUCAAAAUGGUAAUGAUGUUCAAGAAAAGAGGGAUUGACUAAUAAAAUCCAAGUCCAAAGACAGUCGGCCAUUAGUUGCUAAUAAUACUGCCUACAGUUUUCUAAUCAAGACAUAGAUGUGAUUUUAAGGGCACACUUCAGGAGGGACAAGCACUCCAUUGUAGCACUUUGGCCAUAUAUGUAAAGUAUUCAUGACAUCCGUAGCACACGACCCUUACCGGGAGGUAAUCACUUGGGAGUCCGUCUUAACCCUUAAUGCUCACCCUUCAGUUGUCAACCUCAGUAUGCCCAGGCUCCCAAACCAAGCUCAUGCAUUUAUGUGAAGUUUUGUUAAAAAAUUUAGUUUGCACUUUAAUUAUUUAUCUAAGGUGAAGAUGUAUGUAUGUAACCCCUUUCUUUACCAAUGUUCGGUUAUACGCUCAAUUAUGUAUAUGGGUAUGUAUUUAGAUAAAUAGCUCUCACGUAUGUGAUCCUGGCAUGUUAGUUUUAGCUCAAUGGAUGUUAUUCUAUGUUACUUUGUAAUAUUAAAUGCUUCCGUUCAA